GAUGAACGCUAGCGGCAGGCUUAAUACAUGCAAGUCGUGGGGCAGCAGGUUUGUAGCAAUACAGAUGCUGGCGACCGGCAAACGGGUGCGGAACACGUACAGAACCUUCCUUUGAGCGGGGAAUAGCCCAGAGAAAUUUGGAUUAAUACCCCAUAGUAUAAUGAAGUGGCAUCACUUUAUUAUUAAAGAUUAUCACUCGAAGAUGGCUGUGCGGCUGAUUAGGUAGUUGGCGGGGUAAAGGCCCACCAAGCCUGCGAUCAGUAACUGGUGUGAGAGCACGACCAGUCACACGGGCACUGAGACACGGGCCCGACUCCUACGGGAGGCAGCAGUAAGGAAUAUU
rnacentral:rRNA from 1 species